rnacentral:rRNA from 1 species
AAUCCAUAGGUUAAUGAGGCGAACCGGGGGAACUGAAACAUCUAAGUACCCCGAGGAAAAGAAAUCAACCGAGAUUCCCCCAGUAGCGGCGAGCGAACGGGGAGGAGCCCAGAGCCUGAAUCAGCAUGUGUGUUAGUGGAAGCGUCUGGAAAGGUGCGCGAUACAGGGUGACAGCCCCGUACACAAAAGCGCAUGUGCUGUGAGCUCGAUGAGUAGGGCGGGACACGUGGUAUCCUGUCUGAAUAUGGGGGGACCAUCCUCCAAGGCUAAAUACUCCUGACUGACCGAUAGUGAACCAGUACCGUGAGGGAAAGGCGAAAAGAACCCCGGCGAGGGGAGUGAAAAAGAACCUGAAACCGU